rnacentral:rRNA from 1 species
GGACGGGUGAGUAACGCGUGAGUAACCUGCCUUCAAGAGGGGGAUAACAUUCUGAAAAGAAUGCUAAUACCGCAUGACAUAUCGGAAUCACAUGAUUUUGAUAUCAAAGAUUUUAUCGCUUGAAGAUGGACUCGCGUCCGAUUAGUUAGUUGGUGAGGUAACGGCUCACCAAGACCGCGAUCGGUAGCCGGACUGAGAGGUUGAACGGCCACAUUGGGACUGAGACACGGCCCAGACUCCUACGGGAGGCAGCAGUGGGGGAUAUUGCGCAAUGGGGGCAACCCUGACGCAGCAACGCCGCGUGAAGGAUGAAGGUUUUCGGAUUGUAAACUUCUUUUAUUAAGGACGAAAAAUGACGGUACUUAAUGAAUAAGCUCCGGCUAACUACGUGCCAGCAGCCGCGGUAAUACGUAGGGAGCAAGCGUUGUCCGGAUUUACUGGGUGUAAAGGGUGCGUAGGCGGCUUUGCAAGUCAGAUGUGAAAUCUAUGGGCUCAACCCAUAAACUGCAUUUGAAACUGUAGAGCUUGAGUGAAGUAGAGGCAGGCGGAAUUCCCCGUGUAGCGGUGAAAUGCGUAGAGAUGGGGAGGAACACCAGUGGCGAAGGCGGCCUGCUGGGCUUUAACUGACGCUGAGGCACGAAAGCGUGGGUAGCAAACAGGAUUAGAUACCCUGGUAGUCCACGCUGUAAACGAUGAUUACUAGGUGUGGGGGGUCUGACCCC